AUGCUGGCUAAAAAGACAAAGAUGAACUCAAUCUUACGGUGUAGUAUUUGGGUGGUAACAAGAGUCAUCCUGGUGGCCUCCCUGUGGAGUUAUACAAAUGCGUGUAUUUUAAUAACACAACUCAUGUCAUCCAUUAUCAAGAAACAAGGAAACACACCAUUUUUAGAAUGCCAUAUUAAAAAUGGGUGUCUUAAAGAAGAAUGUUUAUAACCCUAGCUCCAACAGAAACCACACCAACCUCUUAAAUCCAUUCUGCAUUCUGUAUAUUCCUGCAAAUGAAAAUGUGGUCCAUGAGCAAGGUGUUAGUGAGGAAAGAUUUGAAGCCAGGAAACAACAGAGGGAUUUACCAGUGAGUCUCAGGAUACAUGGAGUUAAUGAAGCAGAUACUGGGCUGGAUUACUGUGUUUGUUGGGAUGAUAACUCAGGCUGGAUCAAGAUAUUUGCACAAGGGACUAAGCUCAUAGUAACUCCCCCAGACAAAAGCCUUGAUGCAGACAUAUUCCCCAAGCCCAUAAUUUUUUUCCCUUCACUUGCUGAAAUAAAAUUCCACAUGUCCGGUACAUAUAUUUGUCUUCUUGAGAAUUUUUUCCCCGAAGUUAUCAAGAUACAUUGGAAAGAAAAGGAUGGCAAAACAAUUCUGAAAUCCCAGCAGGGAGACACCAUGAAGAUUAAGGACACAUACAUGAAAUUCAGCUGGCUGACCGUGGCUAGAGAGUCAUUGGCUAAAGAACAAAAAUGUAUCAUCGCACACGAGAGUAAUAAAGGAGGGAUUGAUGAAGAGAUUGUUUUUCGUUCAAUGAAAAAAGAGCUCACUGCUAUUGAUUCUACAAAAAUUGAAGAUGCCACCCUGCAGCAACAGCUCAAGACCACCUCUGCCUGCUACACCUACCUCCUCCUCUACUUCAAGAGCCUGAUCUACUCCACCAUCAUCACCAUCUAUCUGUUUGGGAGACCAGCACUCCGUGGCAAUGGGAAGAGUUCCUAG